GCUUCUCUAGUAUCCCGUCUCAUCUGGAUUUCUAGAAAUGUAACUCACAUUCACAUUCACAGCUGUAUACAAGGCGCCAGAUAGGGUCUUGUUUGAAGUUGUUGCGGGUGUUUAUGCAGCUGCAUAUGGCGUAUGAAACCUGGGCGCAGUCUGUCUAGGAUGGCGCAGUUGGUCCGAUGUAUCGUGGCACGAAUGCGUCUCUCAUAGUAUGUGCAACGAAUAUUGGAAAUUCUGUUUUAACCAUUUAUCUCUCAAUUUCUCCAAUAAGAGUCAUGCAUUGCACUAUGCUAUUGUGAUAAAAGCAGGUUACUAAAAUAUGAUCUCAGCUUGUUUACUGGUACAGUCAAAUCAGUCUAAAGCUUUAGUUUAACAUUUUCUGUAAUAUAUUUGUAUGAUAAUGCAUUGCGUUUUACCAUUUAUUUCUUAAUUUUGCUAAAAUACCAAUAAUUAAGAAAUUAAUGG